rnacentral:lncRNA from 1 species
UUAAAUACAUAACAUCUAUAUAUGUAGUUGUAGGUAUACAUAUAAUAAGUUUUUAUAUAUUUUGUAAGGAUUUUUCGAUUAGCAGCUUAAGUAAGCUUCAUGAUUUAAUGUUUCAAAGAAAUUUAUCACUCAGCUCUCUUCAUUAUUAUAUUUAUAUCUAUAAAUAAUUAGAUACAUGCGCUCACAAAUCAAUCAUGUUUGCAUAUAGUUGAUAUAUUUGAAAUAACGAUGAUAAUUACGUUUAAUUCAUUGUUGUAUCAAAAUUGAAAUAUAUACACAAUAGAUUUUGAUUAAUAAUAAUAAAAUUUAAAAAAAAGAAACAAAUUGUUUAUUCCAAAAGAUUUUAGAACUAAGUAGUUACCUUGUAUUAAUUAAAGCGUUAUUAAUUCAAUACUGGAAAAAUUUAUCAACAAAAGUUAGGUUCUAGAUCUUCUCAAACUCUGUUUAUCCUAGGCACAUAAAUGAGGAUUGAUGAAACAACUAACCCAUUGUUUAUGUUGUAAAAUAUCAACUUUGAGCCCCAAAGAUGGUGUCUCCUUCAAUUAUGAUGGCAUUCAAGACGCUCUAUUGAUUUAAUUGUUGAUUCAAUGAGUCCAACUUUUGUCAGUACCUAGUUCUUCUACAUGAAUUGUGUUUAAUUUUUUUCCUUCACAAGUUUGUUAGAUUUCUUUUAAGUUCUUUCCACAUCAAUAAUGCAAAAUGCUACUUCGAAUACAUAUUAUUUUAACAUGUUAAUAUUGUAUUUUCAUUAAUAAUAUUAUCUCCUUCAUGCAUAGGUUAAAAAUCAAUAAGAGCUGAAAUCAUUGAAUGGAAUGAGUAGUGACCGUUGACCUGAAAAAAAUUCAUAUGUAUUAAUAAAAAAUAUAACACUCGUUUUUGAUAUGUAGCCAAAAUUAUAGGAAGCAAUUUGAGAGCAAAUAAGAUAAUUUUUUUUUACAUAUACUAUUACUACAAUAGUAUCAAUUGUACUAAUAAGUUAAAGCCACCCUGGUCUUCCCUCUCUCUUCUUAUUACUACGCUCAAAAUAAUUUUGAGCUUAAUGUUUUUACAAAAUGUGUAAGCCCCAACAGGAAAAGGUUCUUCAUCACCAUGCUUGUAUGAACAAUAAGUUAAUAAAUUAUAUUGCUAUCUCUAGCUAUGAAAAAAAAGAAGAAAAGAAGGCCAAGGAUGUUAUGUGAUGACGUCAAAAGAUCGAAUACAUAGAGAUUAAAAAUAUAGCUAGUGUUUACUUAAGGAAAAAAUUGAAGGGAGAGACAGCUGAUGAAUACAAACAACAAAAGGAUCAAAACAUUCAAAUAUUAUAUACUAAGUAUACUUAUAGUAAAUAGCCGUUUCGUCUUACUUAAUAAUGUGAUUUUGGGGCCUAAUGGAUAAUGAGGGUACUCAACUUAGUUCAAAUUUUCCUCUUAUCAAAAUGGCAUGUAUAAAUAUAAAAUCUGAAGGAGUGUGAUCUCUUAAAGGAAUCUCCACGAUUGGUGUUUAAAUUUGCUUUGAAACGCAUGAAGCUUAUAACAAUAUUAUGAAGAACAUUUUCUUUAUUGAUUUUUUCUUAUAAAUUACUAAUAUUUGUUCUCGUAAAUACUAAUUUUUAUAAAAAAUGUUAUAGAAUAUCUAAGGCAAAUAAACAUGCCAUCAAUGAAGUAUCAUUUAUUCUACAAAAUAUUAAAUACUAAUAAAAUUAAGUCUUUCAACA